rnacentral:rRNA from 1 species
GACGAACCGUGCGAACGUUGUUCGGAAUCACUGGGCUUAAAGGGCGCGUAGGCGGGCGAGCAAGUCCGGGGUGAAAUCUUUCGGCUUAACCGGAAAAGUGCCUUGGAUACUGCUCGCCUAGAGGGAGGUAGGGGCAGCGGGAACUUCCAGUGGAGCGGUGAAAUGCGUUGAUAUUGGAAGGAACUCCGGUGGCGAAAGCGCGCUGCUGGAUCUCUACUGACGCUGAGGCGCGAAAGCUAGGGGAGCAAACGGG